rnacentral:rRNA from 1 species
UGGUGCACUUUGCCGGGCACAGGCCAGCAUCAGUUUGGCUUGGGGGAAAAAGGCUUUGGGAACGUAGCUCCUCGGAGUGUUAUAGACCAUUGCAUAAUACCCUGGGCCGGACUGAGGUUCGCGCAUCUGCAAGGAUGCUGGCGUAAUGGUCAUCAGCGA